AGAACGAACGCUGGCGGCAUGCCUAAUACAUGCAAGUCGAACGAACACUUCGGUGUUAGUGGCGCACGGGUGCGUAACGCGUGGGAAUCUGCCCUUGGGUUCGGAAUAACAGUUGGAAACGACUGCUAAUACCGGAUGAUAUCGAAAGAUCAAAGAUUUAUCGCCCAGGGAUGAGCCCGCGUAGGAUUAGCUAGUUGGUGAGGUAAAGGCUCACCAAGGCGACGAUCCUUAGCUGGUCUGAGAGGAUGAUCAGCCACACUGGGACUGAGACACGGCCCAGACCUCCGUACGGGAGGCAGCAGUAGGGAAUAGUUGGACAAGUGGGCGCAAGCCUGAUCCAGCAAUGCCGCGUGAGUGAUGAAGGCCGUUAGGGUUAGUUAAAAUUCGUUUACGACCGGGACGAGUAAUGGACGGUACCGGAGAAGAACGCCCGGACUAACUCGUCGCCAGCAGCCGC
rnacentral:rRNA from 1 species